GUUUAAAGGCCAUCUUAGAUUCUGAAAACUGUGAGCACAAAUGAAAGCAACCCAAGAGGGAAAAACUUCAGAGCCUAAGAAUAAAAAAUGGUGGUGGGGUUGGGGGAUACACUCGCCCAGAGCUGACUUAAAGUGCUGUCAGGGAAGGAAGUGCCUUUCCUGGGGAGGAUGAGAUGGUGCAUGCAGGGUCUGGAGCUGUGGGCGUUCUGAUGUUGGAUAGCCCACCCUAGCGGGCUGCAGUGUCUUAAGGGUAGUGGCACGAGAUCUUUGGAAGUAUCGAUACAUUUCCUAACAGUGAGUUUGAGUUUGUUCUGGUCUGUUCUGAAUGGAUAUGUGGCUCAAAGAUUAACUUAGCUAAAAAUAAGUAUAUUAGAUUUUAGGGAAAUAUUGUUAAUAAAGGUCUUUUGUCCCUGUUGGAUAACUUUAGAAAAUAAUGUAGACAACUGAACGUAGUGGAGAUGAUGGCAUGAAUACAGUCAGGGUUUGAUGCUUGCUUCCUAGAAACUUCCUAGAAAUAGAACACAUCUAGACAUAGGGAAAUAAGGUUCCAAAUAAAACCUUACACUUUUAUUCAGAUUUUGUGUUGGCCUCAGUUGUACUAGAAGAGCGUUUCAGUAUGUGUCUCUUGGGGAAUCUGUACCUUCUGGGUCACUGCACUUCACAGCCCGGCAUAUCACUGAGAAUUCAGAAAUCUGACUCUUUACCCAGGGAGGAACACAUCGUUAUGAGUUCAGGUGCACUAAAUACGUAGGAACACCCAGAGAAAAUGAGCCCGAAACAAUGGUUCUUUUUAUUUUGGAAGUUUCAGCCAAACUCUUUGGAAAAUUGAAGAAAUCUAUGGAACCUUUUCCUGGGAAGACUGUACAGACAUACGUAUUCGUGUGGUUUCUGUGGGUGUAGGGACUGGCCCUGGUUAUGUGUCAGGAAGCCCCAAUCCAGAAGAUCAUCUUCAUUUUACCUUGGCCGGCGAUCUGACUCUGUUCUCGCGCCCAUCUGUGAUUGAUUCUCUGUCGCCUUGGAAUGGAGCAGCAGAUCUUGAAGGUCGCUCACUGCUUUUCCACACAUAGAACUGAGCCACAUGGCAAGAGCUUCCUAAUGAAAUGGACGGAAACUCUCUGCAAAGGGCUGCCCCAGAAGCACGGGUGAUAGAAAUAGAGUCCAAGGCACUAAGGCUGCUGAGCCACAGUCCUCCUAGGCAAUGCCUCCUGCUGGCUUAGUGGGUUUAUUUCAUAAGUUGAGUACUAAUGUCCUGUUUUUUAAAUGAACAUAUUUCUUCUAACAUUUCUAACAAUUAUGAAGAUUUUCUCCCUAAGUGUGACUUUUUCUUCUGUUUUGGGGUAUCAGAUUUACAGCAUAACGUGUACUUCAAAUUAUAGUAGUGACUGGAAGUUUAGGAUUCUGUUGUUUCAUAACACUUAAAUCUGCAGCAGAUUUUCAGGAAAAUGGUCAAGAUUCACAGAUAAUUCCUUCCUUAUUCCUUUCAGAUUUUACAAUUGUAUGCUUAUUUCUGAAUUUGGUUGAUUUGUUUAUAAGUGUAGUGGACAUUUAACGGAACAGAUGCACCCGCUUAUCUGAUUAGAAAUGUGUUUCAACACAAGGGUCCCUUUGCGUGGUUUCAAUCUCUGUUUUGGGAUCUGGGAUUCUCCACCUGUUACAUCGUUCACUGGAACUUUCCUACAAAAUGCAGCCUCGCUGAGAGGCGCAUCGUGGAAAAAUGAAGCAGCCUGAAGAAACUCUAAUAUUGGGACCGAGUGGAGAGAUGGAAGAGCACCAUCAGAGUGGUGCCGCCGCACAUGCGGGAGGCAUCCCAGGCAGCAUUGCUCUUUGUACAUGAGACAGGAUACCACUGUCUUUUAUGCAUUAGACUGGUAACCAGAUAAAAUAACCUUGUAAAACACAUCUUUUAUGUAAGAAAAAUACAACUCUCACCUCGCAAA
rnacentral:sRNA from 1 species